GACGAACGCUGGCGGCGUGCUUAACACAUGCAAGUCGAACGGAAAGGCCCUGCUUUUGUGGGGUGCUCGAGUGGCGAACGGGUGAGUAACACGUGAGUAACCUGCCCUUGACUUUGGGAUAACUUCAGGAAACUGAGGCUAAUACCGGAUAGGAGCUCCUGCCGCAUGGUGGGGGUUGGAAAGUUUCGGCGGUUGGGGAUGGACUCGCGGCUUAUCAGCUUGUUGGUGGGGUAGUGGCUUACCAAGGCUUUGACGGGUAGCCGGCCUGAGAGGGUGACCGGCCACAUUGGGACUGAGAUACGGCCCAGACUCCUACGGGAGGCAGCAGUGGGGAAUAUUGCACAAUGGGCGGAAGCCUGAUGCAGCAACGCCGCGUGCGGGAUGACGGCCUUCGGGUUGUAAACCGCUUUCGCCUGUGACGAAGCGUGAGUGACGGUAAUGGGUAAAGAAGCACCGGCUAACUACGUG
rnacentral:rRNA from 1 species